CACGCGAUUUCCUUUCUCCUGAGCCCUCUCACGAUUUUCCCCUCGCCCGAUCGCCGGCCACCGCGAGCUCACCGCCGGCACCGGCCUUCUCCUCCAGCGUGCCUCAGCCGGUUCUCCCUCCGAUCUUAUCUGGUUGUUGCCCCUCUUUCCUUUUGAUCUCGCGGAUAUCGAUCGCCCUUCUUCUCGGCGUCGCCACGAUCAUGCCGACCGACCAUGAGCUUGCAACCAGCAACAAUCUCUUACUCGGGCACCCUUCAUCAUCAUUGGAAUUUUGAUUACCUUACUGCUAAGAUUCCAGCCACCCUCUCGAUCCCGACGUUGUAGCUACGCCGGCGUGAAGGGGGUAAUUAGGGCAUCAAGGAUCUUGAUCCUCUUCUUUGAGGUUGAUUUAGGUCACGGAUUGGGUGAAUUCUUUGAAGACAACCGAAUGAGGAGGUUUUGUUCUGUUCUUGCUGUGGUGUUCUUGGUGCCGGCAGCCCUCAAACCAGCAUCAACAGUAGCUUGAUUGAGG